rnacentral:rRNA from 1 species
AUACGUAGGGGGCGAGCGUUGUCCGGAAUUACUGGGUGUAAAGGGCGUGUAGGCGGGGAUGCAAGUUAUCGGUAAAAAACCGGGGCUCAACAUCGGGCUUGCCGGUAAAACUGGAUCUCUUGAGUUUAGGAGAGGGGCGUGGAAUUCCUGGAGUAGCGGUGAAAUGCGUAGAUACCAGGAGGAACACCAGUGGCGAAGGCGGCUUCCUGGCCUAUUACUGACGCUGAGGCGCGAAAGCUAGGGUAGCGAACGGGAUUAGAUACCCCGGUAGUCCUAGCCGUAAACGAUGGUCACUAGGUGUGGGUGGUGGUCAAGCCAUCCGUGCCGGAGCUAACGCAAUAAGUGACUCACCUGGGGAGUACGGCCGCAAGGUUGAAACUCAAAUGAAUUGGCGGGG